CCAGUAGUACAAAAUUAGUGCAUGAUCAUACAUAUCAUAACCACAUUCCCAAUCAUCAAACAAUUACAAACAACAGUACAAAACUAGUGCAAGCAUCAUGUUAUCAUAACCGCAUUUCCAAACAACAACAAUGCCAUGGCAGCAAAACAAACUGAACUUGCAAACUUCACAUAACAGUCCAACCAAGUUAACCUCAGAUCCAAUUUCCAGCUCUAGACUAACUAACAUAACAUAAUUUCCUGCAAAAUAAAAAAUUGUAACAGAACUCUCUCAAAUACCCUUCAACAAACUCCAAUAACCUGAAAACAUAUUAAAGAGAACUCCCUCUAACAGCUAAAAAGGAUCGCUAACAAACUUCUCUGAAGGAAUUUCCGGAACCACCACCAACUUAUAAACUAACUGAAGUAGAUUCUCCCCAAGACCAUUCAAAACCUCCCUCCUAACCACAUACAACCUCUAACCAAGUUCCAAAAAAACCUUCAAACAAAUAUUAACCAACCACUUCUCAGAGGCACAUAGAGCUUGUAACAGAGGCUUCAAAUGAUAAUAGAAAAUUGAAAACAAUUCUCAACAACAAAAUCUCACAAAAAAUCUUCAUCAAACAGACGCAUAUAGUAGGAAAAAUAAGAAAAAAAGGAUAACAGGGGCAUUGCAAUUCAGAAACAAAAAUACUUUCUCACCUUUUCACAAUUACAAGUAGAAUUCAAUCGUCUUCACUAUUCUCUCUUCACUUCAAUCCAUGAUUCACCACUCUCGCCUCAAUUCAGCAGUAAUACGCAACGAACAACAACUACGAUUCGCAACACGCCUACAACACAACUAAUCAACGAAUGAACAACAACAACAACGGAGAACAAACAAAGAAGAGGAUUGAAAGACACAUGGAGCCACCGUGUCGGAAUCAUCGGGUAUGUUCCGUUUGAGCUCCCUCUGUCCACUGUACCGCUAAGUCUGGGCCUGCACCUUCAUUAUUUCUUAAUCAUCUAAUUAAUUAUUUUCCCUAUUAUUUUAGGUUGUGAUUAGAAUAGAAUUAGAGGUUAAUUUUAGAUUUU
rnacentral:lncRNA from 1 species